GUUAGAAUGUCCGAGCGGUCCAGGAGUUCAGCUUGAAUUUCAAUUCAUGGCAUCAAAUGGGCUCGCCCGCGCAGGUUCGAAUCCUGUUUCUAACG